rnacentral:miRNA from 1 species
UACGCAGGAGAGAUGAUGCUG